AUUGAACGCUGGCGGCAUGCCUUACACAUGCAAGUCGAACGGUAACAGGUCUUCGGAUGCUGACGAGUGGCGAACGGGUGAGUAAUACAUCGGAACGUGCCUAGUAGUGGGGGAUAACUACUCGAAAGAGUGGCUAAUACCGCAUGAGAUCUACGGAUGAAAGCAGGGGAUCGCAAGACCUUGUGCUACUAGAGCGGCCGAUGGCAGAUUAGGUAGUUGGUGGGAUAAAAGCUUACCAAGCCGACGAUCUGUAGCUGGUCUGAGAGGUCGGUCAUCAACACUGGGACUGAGAAACGGCACAGACUCCUACGGGAGGCAGCAGUGGGGAAUAUUGGACAAUGGACGCAAGUCUGAUCCAGCCAUGCCGCGUGCGGGAAGAAGGCCUUCGGGUUGUAAACCGCUUUUGUCAGGGAAGAAACGCUCUGGGUUAAUACCUCGGGGUAAUGACGGUACCUGAAGAAUAAGCACCGGCUAACUACGUGCCAGCCGCCGCCGUAACAC
rnacentral:rRNA from 1 species